CUGACUUCCUGUUGCCUUCAAGAUGUAGGACUCUCAGCUCCAGCACCACAUCUGCCUUCAUGCUGCAUGUUCCCUUUCAUGGCCAUAUGGAAUGAACUUCUGAAACUGCUGUCAUUUUCCUGCCCAGGGUCCAGAGGAUUCUCUGCUGCUGCCAGUGUGAGCUGUCAGAACUGCCCUGUCUCUGAAGAGUACAGUCCCUAGCACUGGAUAAGCACCACUUCUGGAAGGUUGCUGGAUAUGAAGAGAGGGGAACAAGGCAUCCCCAAGCCUGCACCUGACCUUUUACCUCUGGAACUGCACUAAACUCUGCAGUUCCAUUUCAACCUGUGAUGCCGCUACAACAAACAGCAGCAGCAACAAGAACAACAGCUUCCCAGAGGUCUCCAGCUGGUUAGGUGGCUCAACCCUAUGGACUCCAGGAUAGAUAGAUUUACUUUGUGAUAUGCAAUGUGAUCUGAGAACUGAUAUCAAUAGUUAAUAUUAGAGUAAAAGAACAAGCAUUUGCCUUGGUUAGGGUUAUCAAGGAAAAUGGUGGUAUCUAUGAAAUUCCUAUCAUUGAAACCUU
ensembl:lncRNA